GCGCCUGUAGCUCAGAUGGACCAGAGCAUCGGACUUCUAAUCCGAGGGUCGCAGGUUCGACUCCUGCCAGGCGCACCA
rnacentral:tRNA from 1 species